UACGGAGGAUCCGAGCGUUAUCCGGAUUUAUUGGGUUUAAAGGGUGCGUAGGCGGCCAUUUAAGUCAGUGGUGAAAGACGGCAGCUCAACUGUCGCAGUGCCUUUGAUACUGAAUGGCUUGAAUGCUGUUGAAGAUGGCGGAAUGAGACAAGUAGCGGUGAAAUGCAUAGAUAUGUCUCAGAACACCGAUUGCGAAGGCA
rnacentral:rRNA from 1 species